AUCUCUAAACAUAUUUCUUCAUUCUAGGAGAGUGAUGAACUGGUUUUAGCAUGUCUCCAUCUUACCUCUAGUGCCAGUUAUUGAUUCAAUUGUGACGGGGAAAUGGAGAACAAGACAAGAGACUAUGGUCAUUGCAGUGACUCACAAAUUCUUACUUUUUCUGCUGGUCUUGCCCUAUCCCUCUUGACAGCUCCACAAAAGCCUGUUUUCACAGCAAUGACACAGGUUUUCCCUCAAUAUACCUUUUCUGGGAAGAGGAGCCUUAAUCUGUUUGGAUUUGACCUAAACAAGUUCUGGGAACACAGUGGGAAUCCAAAGGAAAUCCAGGACCUUUCACAUUUCUGGAUGACACACUCAAUAUCUAGGUGCCGUAGUCGAGCUUUUGGCUCAUGCAGUGAGAGCGAGCAUGAAAAUAUCACCGCAGCGUGAACAAAGGGUCCCUGAGGAGGGGAAGCUUCUAUCUUGGAUGGCUGGGGUUCAGACAUCUAGACUCUGUUGUUGGCGGCUUAUGGAAAAUCACCAUCUUUGCCAGGCAGCUUGCCAAGGGCUGCCUCCCCCCUGCCCCCCCCUCCACCCCCAUCACCGCCGGCCUGCAGGGCUGGGCUUAGCAGCAAUUACAUUUGUCUUUCACACAGAAGACACACAUCUCCGGAGCGGUCGCGAGCCCCCCGACACGAAGACGGCUAAAGUUCAUCUCAUUAACUCCUGACAAGCCCGUGCCCCUCUCUCUCUGGCACAGGAAGUGGAGUGAUUAAGGAGUCCUGACGCAAUAGAAGCUACAGUCCCCUUUCAAUAAA